GGGAGAAAGAGACCAAAAAGUAAGUAUUACAAAGUAUUACAAGACUGCCCCCUUUGGUACACAAAAAUUAUAACUACUCCCAAUCUCUGCCACACCUCUAAAAUUCUGAAAGCUGAACAAAAAAUAUAUAUAGAAAAAACAAAAACUAUAAACCCAUCCCCCCAAAAGAUUUCCAAUAACUGAAAAAUAAAUAACUGGAAAUAGCUGCUUUUGGCCAAAUUCCUUGCUUCCUUAUAGGGCAGUAAAUGAUCAAAUGACAAAUGAUUCACAUGACAAAGGAUCAUGGGAAGUCCAAGGGAAGAGAGGGCCUUGACAGCUGUGGUUUCUCUAACUAAAGAAAAGAAAAUUUUAUGAUGGAAGCAGGACCUGGAGAAUAACAUUUAAACAGACAAGAGAGGGGAGUGGAAAAUAUUCUCCACGGAGGAAUGUACCCAAAGGCGGGGUAAAAGUCCCUACGUAGCACAAAUGGUUUGUGCUCGACUGCUAACCUAAAGGUUGGUGGUAUGAACCUACCCAGCGGUACUGUGGAAGAAAGGCCCGGAGAUCUGCUUCCAUUAAGAUGACAGCAAAGAAAACCCUAUGGAGAAGUUCUACUCAGUAACACAUGGGGUCGCCAUGACGGCAACUAACAACAACAGCAACAAAUAUCUGUUGUGUCUUUCAUUUAGAAAUUCAACUCUUUGGAGGUUUGGACUCCCUAACAAAACACUGCAGGUUCAGGACAGGUCUUCAUUAUCUGCCACUUGGACUCCUGUCUCCAGUUUCUGUUGCCACGUAACUGAAUCUAGCUUGAACUAUCUUUCUAAAUCACACAUUUAAUCAAGCUUCCUAUCUAAAACAUCUUUAACUGCAAAAAUGAUUAGUAACUAGUUUGGGAAGUAUCUACUAUUUCCAGUCCAGUUUCACGCAACUAAAACACCAUCAUGGCUAAACAAGAAGACAAGGAUCAACAGGUUAAAAUGGGAUGGAUUUCAAUUGUUAUAAAGAAGACCGUGAUACCUCUGCUAGAGACAGGAAUGAGCCACUGAGGAUGAUUGUGGUCAAUUUUUCUUUGCCAUUUUAAAAUAAGAUAUUCAUUAGAUCAGUAAUUUUAGAUAUGAUUCUAUCUAAAGGCAAAAGAAACUGGCUAAAAAGGUGAUCAGGAUCCCUUUCAACUCACAAAAUAUACAUGUGCUAUACACAAGGGAAACCCUGGUGGUGCAGUGGUUAAGUGCUACAGGUGCUAAACAAAAGGUCAGCAGUUUGAAUCCAUCAGGUGCUCCUUGGAAACACUAUGGGGUAGUUCUACUCUUUCCUAUAGGGUCUCUAUGAGUCACAAUUGACUCGACAGGAACAGGUUUGGUUUUUUUUCAUAUACAAGGGCGAGUCAAAAAGUAUUACAACUAGGGUUCCAGUUCACACAUGCACAGAUUUACUCCAAACAAAACAUGUUUAAACAAGUCUCUGUGAUCAGUGGGUGGCUGCAGAUAAGUUCUCUCAGUAAUACACUUGUCUUAGUCUUGUUAGGGUGCCUUAAGAAAAAAGAAUAUUUUUUUGUGCAAUGAAAAAAAAUGAUUUUGAGGUCAGGGCUAACAUCAAAUUUUUAACAAAACUCAAGUGGACAUCUUCCCAAAUCAUUGAAGCUUUGCAACAAGUUUAUGGGAAUGCUGCCUCACAGAAAACAACACUUUUCAGAUGGAUCAAGCAUUUUAAGGAAGGUUGGGAAGACCUCAAAGAUGAACCAAGAGAGGGAAGACCAUACAGAAGGUUAUGGGACUGUUUUUUGGGAUUCCAAAGGGGUAAACUUGAUAGAUUUUAUCGAAGGACACAGGAUAAUCAUGGGGGCUUAUUAUGAAGAAGUUUUAAGAAAAUUGAAAACUGCAUUGGUGACAAAAAGGCCAGGAAAGUUGUGCUGAGGAAUUUUUUUUCCAUCACGACAAUGCGCCUGCCCAUUUUUGAAGGGUAGCAGGGGUUGUCCUAUGAGAAUUUCAUAGGGAAAUCUUACCCCAUCUACCUACAGCCUGAUCUUGCCCCUUCAGACUUUUUAUUCUCAAAAUUCAAAGAACGUUUGAAACAAGCAUGAUUUGAGUCCCUUUGAAGAUGCCGAAACUGCCGUUUUGACGUGGUGUAAACUGAAGAGUGCAGAAUUCUUUGGGGAAGGAUUAGAGAGAUGGAAACACCACCCUGAGAAGUAUAUAGACCUAGAUGGAGGAUAUGUAGAGAAACACUAGCUUCACAUUUUGAUGUUUUUGUUUAAUAAACGUUUCUAUGAUUUUGUAGCAAUACUUUUUUACUUAUCUUCAUACAGGUGCUUACAGGAUAAAUGUAAAUUAUCUUUAGUAAGUAUUGCUCUCCAAUAAUCUAAUCUUCUACCCUACACAAACCUUCUACCUAAACCACAUCACUCACUCAACUUUUCCACCACGUGCCAUGUUCAUUACCACUUUCACACAGCUGUUCACGCCAAUCCCACCAGCCAAGGCCCUCCUCCUCUCUUCUGGCCAUCCCAGUGUUCCACAUACAGCCUUUAAGGUCUGAUGUUUUCCUAUCUUCCAGAAAACAUUUCCCAUCUGCUCCUAGAAUACUCUGAGCUUCUGUAGCAUGUGACCAUCCACAUCUGUGUUUCUCAAGUUCGAUAUUCUCAUAAGCCCUAAGCAUAUGAUCCCAGCUUGAGAAACUGCAAUUUAAGAAGCCAC